rnacentral:rRNA from 1 species
UGAGGAAUAUUGGUCAAUGGGCGGAAGCCUGAACCAGCCAUGCCGCGUGCAGGAAGAAUGUCUUAUGGAUUGUAAACUGCUUUUAUUUGGGAAUAAACCUUCCGACGUGUCGGAAGCUGAAGGUACCAAAUGAAUAAGCACCGGCUAACUCCGUGCCAGCAGCCGCGGUAAUACGGAGGGUGCAAGCGUUAUCCGGAAUCAUUGGGUUUAAAGGGUCCGCAGGCGGGCGUAUAAGUCAGUGGUGAAAGCCUACAGCUCAACUGUAGAACUGCCAUUGAUACUGUAUGCCUUGAAUUCGAUCGAAGUGGGCGGAAUGUGUAGUGUAGCGGUGAAAUGCAUAGAUAUUACACAGAACACCGAUAGCGAAGGCAGCUCACUAGGUCUGAAUUGACGCUCAUGG